ncrna:unclassified sequences COG3860 RNA
GGGUCAACAGUUCACCCAGGCGUUGCCGGAGCCCCUUGCUCACGCUAAACCUGCUG